AUUGAACGCUGGCGGCAGGCUUAACACAUGCAAGUCGAACGAGUGGCGGACGGGUGAGUAAUGCUUGGGAAUCUAGCUUAUGGAGGGGGAUAACUAUGGGAAACUGUAGCUAAUACCGCGUACCAUAGGAUGAGCCCAAGUGGGAUUAGGUAGUUGGGGAGGUAAAGGCUCACCAAGCCGACGAUCUCUAGCUGGUCUGCGAGGAUGACCAGUCACACUGGGACUUAUACACGGCCCAGACUCCUACGGUAGGCAGCAGUGGGGAAUAUUGCGCAAUGGGGGCAACCUGACGCAGCCAUGCCGCGUGAGUGAAUAAGGCCUUCGGUUUGUAAAGUUCUUUCGGUAGCGAGGCGUUAACUACAGAAGAAGCACCGGCUAACUCCGUGCCAGCAGCCGCGGUAAUUC
rnacentral:rRNA from 1 species